CUUUUGCGGUGUGGGAUGGGCCCGCGGCCUAUCAGCUUGUUGGUGGGGUGAUGGCCUACCAAGGCGACGACGGGUAGCCGGCCUGAGAGGGUGUCCGGCCACACUGGGACUGAGAUACGGCCCCAGACUCCUACGGGAGGCAGCAGUGGGGAAUAUUGCACAAUGGGCGCAAGCCUGAUGCAGCGACGCCGCGUGGGGGAUGACGGCCUUCGGGUUGUAAACCUCUUUCAGCAGGGACGAAGGGUGACUGACGGUACCUGUAGAAGAAGCACCGGCCAACUACGUGCCAGCAGCCGCGGUAAUACGUAGGGUGACGAGCGUUGUCCGGAAUUACUGGGCGUAAAGAGCUCGUAGGUGGUUUGUCGCGUUGUUCGUGAAAAACUCACAGCUUAACUGUGGGCGUGCGGGCGAUACGGGCAGACUGGAGUACUGCAGGGG
rnacentral:rRNA from 1 species